GUUAGAUAUUCUCAAUUUUUUAGUAGAAAACAUAUUUUAUUCUCUACAAAAAUAAUGUUCCUACAAAUCUCACUUGAUUCACGGAUUAUAUAAGUUUCUAAGGCAACCUUAGGCCGUCAUUCCCCAUUUCAUAUUCACCUUAAUUUAAUUUAUUUAUUUUAAUUUUUUUUUUAAAAUUUUUCUCUUUAUCAUCAAUCUUACCAUUAAUCAUAUUCGUAAUGGAAGAAAUUCAAGCUAACCUUAUUCAAUCUUCGUUAAAGCCAAAAAAUACUAGCAAUCUUCUUGCAAAAAGCGUGAUUAUUAACAAGGAUGAGAGAGAUGAAGAGGAAGGGGAGAAAUACUACAUAAUAGUAACGAGUCAACAAAAAAACUUCCAUCAACUUUAUUUUGUAAAAUUUUCAGCAUUGAAAGCAAAAAUCCAGAGGGCCAAGGAGUUAACCAAUAAAUUGCACAAGGAAAAAAGUAUCAUUUUGGAUGAAAUAGGCAAUAUGAAGGAUAGAAUACUCAAAGAAAGUAAGGAGUUGAGAUGGAAUAGUGUGCACGGUAUAAGGAUUCAUUUUCUUGAAUGUAACGUAAGAAUUGAAAUUAGAGAUGAUGUGUUUUUUUUUUUGAAGUAAUUAAAAAAAAUGAAUUGAAAGCAUAUACUUGUAUAUUGUUACACAUACAGACAUACUUGCUCACCUUCUAUGUUUUAUUGAUAGGAUUGGGAUCCAGAAUUGGAACCAGAACUCGAGUCUAUAAACAUUGAUAAAAAAAUUCAAAAGUUAUGCUAUCAAUUUACUCAUGGGAGUAAAAAUAUAGCCAAUGAAAGAAGGAUAAUUAGCGAGUUUAAAGAAUUACAAACAAGAAAGGAGAAAUUUUAUAAACAUGACAAAACAACAAGAAAUAAUGUACAAGUAAUACAACUACAACACCUUAUUCUGGAGGGUUUGAAUGAAGUGAAAAAUCGACAAGAGAAAGAAAGAAUAGUGAAACGAAAUAAGGUUGCGAUAGCAAAGGAAAUUACGUCUUUGGAAGAAAAGCUAGCUAAAAUUAACCAAAAGAGAGCAAAGGUGAACGAAUUCAUUAUAACAGCCGAGAAGCAGCUUAAUGAUCAGUUUGACGAAUUCAUGUCUCAAUGGAAGUAUAGAGACAAUCUGUUUGGAGCAAAUUGUCAAAGAAGUAUGAUGCUAUCACUUGAAGGUCUGAAGCUUAGUCAUGGAGAUCGAAACAACGAAACAUGAUAAUCAAUUAGAAGCUAAUUUAUUUAACAGCAAGAUUAAAACUUCACAAGAAAAAUUAUUAUUUGUACUUCAAACUUUUUUUUACUAAAUUGUGUUAAGUUCAACUUAUUAG